UUCUCUUCAUUUGAUACUCCCGUAGCCCAUGUUCAAAAGAAAGAAAAAGAAGGAGAAAAGAGGGGGAUAGGAAGGAAAAGAGGGAAAGGAUAAGAGAGCAAUAAUUAUACUUUCUCCCACCUCUAUUUCUCCUACAACAAAAUCAGCAGAAAGAAAAGAAAGAAAAAGAGAGAGAAUGAAAGAGAAAGAAAGAAGAAGAUGAAACCAUGGAAGCAUGAAGGAAGAAUAAGAAAUCAAAAGGUAAAACCAAAAUUUUUCAUCUCUUUACUUUUCUUAAGAGUUUGAUUUGUUGAAAGUUGGGUUAUAGGGGAUCAUGAUGGAUCCAAAGUAAUAAGGAAGUAUAUGAUAAAUAUUUUAUGUUUAAUCUAUGUCAUAAUUGAAUUUAAGAUCAAAAAGUUAGGAAUGUGUUUGAGGAUGAAUAAAAGUUAUUUUGAGGACUUAAAUCAAACUUGUAAAAGUGUUGAUAGUUGAUUAAUGUGUAAUAUCUGAGGAGGAUGAUCUAUAGAUUAAGAAGUUAUGGAAAUAUUCCAAUUUGAACGGACUAAAAAUGAUUUAAAUCGAAGUAGUGGUGAAAGUUUUCGUAAACAUGUUAAACGAUGAAAAACUUAGUCUUGGGGGACUUUUGAGCAAAAUUUUUGAAUAAUUAAUGAAUCUGAAAAAUUAUGAAAUCAUGGAGGUUUUGUAGAGCAUGUUACAAUCUUUCCAUAACCUUGAAAAUGGACUAAUUCCGACUUAAAAUGAAGAAGUUAUAAAGAUUUGAAGUAUGUGCGUCAAAAGUUGCAAAAUCUAGAACAUUGGAGUUAAGUGCCAAGGGUCGAGCGCCUAAGCACUAGGCUCGGCGCUUAGAAUCUGUUCUAGGGCGCCUAGGCGCUUGCCCAAGGCCAAAUUUGGGCGCCUAGGCGCUGAUCUAGUGUUAAGCCAAAAUCUGUUCAGACGUCCUUUAGUAAAUUGGGCAUAACGUCUUCAUAUGAACUCCGAUUGAGGUGAUUCAGGAUGAUUUAAAAAGAUAACGAGUAGACCCAAAACUUUUAUUCUUUAUAUUUUGAGAUUUGAGGUAGUUAUCAAGGCCUAAAAUGGCUAUUUUAGUGACUAAUGUGCAUUUAGAGGCAAUCAGAGGACGUCGGGCAUGCACGUAUGCAACGUGUAAUGUUUUCGAUGAUAAAUGAUGUUGUUAUAAGUUGUAAAACAUGAAAAUUAUUAAAUAUAAUGAUAUUAUGCGAUGAAUAAAGACAACUUAAAUGAACAAUGAAUUAUUAGUUGGUGUAUAUGUUAUUCGAUAUAAUUAUGAUUUGAUGUUGAUCCUUACUUUUAAUAGAAUUUGAAUUGUUUAUAAGUAAGGUAUUAAUUUGAUUCUUACAUAAGAAGUCACUAUGUAUUUUAUUCAAUAAUUGUCACAGUAGUUAUUACACAGUGAUUCAUAUUAUUGAUUCUUAAUUAUGUAAGAAGUCACUCAGUCUUUUAUUCAAUAAUUGCCACAGUAGUUAUUGCACAGUGACUCAUAUUAUUUGAUAUGAUAUAAUUAAACCAGUUGGCAGUAUUGAGAGUAUAUGUUAAUAAUUGUGAAUAAUGGUUCAAAGAUUGAAAAUGGUGUUGAUUAAAGAUAAGUAUGAUAUACAGAUGGUUGUUCAAUUAUUUUCUUUUUUACAAAAGUAAGUUUGGCAGGACUUGCGAACACUCUACUUUUACUAAAGUAGUAUGGACCACAACUCUAUUAUUGAACAAAUUUUAUUAAAACGUGUACAAAGUUGGUUUAAUUUUCUCUGUUGGACCAUAAAUUCCACUACCAUUUUUAUAUACCUCAUUUGGUUAAUUUGUCAAAGCAGAUGUGCUUGUUUACUAAAUUUUUAGUAUAAAUAGGUUGCUCGGUUGAGUAACUAAACACACAUCAUCACUACACUAAAAGUAUAGAAUUCUUUUACUUCAAUAUUGUGAGUAUUUCUAUUGAGUUUAAUGUUACUCCAAGUGUAGAUAAGGAAUGCAAGCAUUGUUUAAGUUGAUUAAUUUCAUAGAAAGCAAAAUCAAGUCACAUGCUAAGGUAAGGGAUAUCAUUAUUAUGGUAAGAGGGUAUCAUUUCACUGUUGAUUUACUUGAUUAUAAAUAUGAAUUAUGAUUUAAUUAUAAUCUGUGGUGGUUCAGGUGAAAACAUGUGAUGAGAGUUCUCUUUGUCUUGGGUAUAACCAAGAACUGUUGAUGAGUAUUACAGGAAUGAAAUAUUAACGAUGGACUUUUAUUCUAGGGGAGAUAGUAGACAUUAUGUUCUACUUGAUUCUUCUAAUGGAUUGUUGAUUUCGCUGCUAUUAUGGUUGGAAACUUUUAUCUUCUACCAUAUGUUCUAAAUAUCUGAAUUAUUAUUGAUGAAGGCUAUUGAUAAUUUAAUUAUCUUAAGUCAUGAUAUUCUUUACUGGGCUAUUUGUGCUCACCCUUUUACUUCAGCACCCCUUUUAGGUAAUAAAAGUGUAGCUGAGACUAGCAGAGAGAACAUGAGUAUAAAGUGUUGAUACGAAUUAGUCACAAGCCUAAUCAAAUUAUGAAACGUGUGGCAUAAUAAUUGUACUGAGAACUUAAAAUGUGUGUGACAUAUUUUAUACAUCAUUUGAUAUUUAAUUUUGGUGAACAACAAUUGGGUGAGGUGAAUCAGAAUUUGGAAACGUCAAAAAUGCACUCCAUUAGAAUGAGGAGGACAGAAAUCUUCUCGUGUUCCUUUGGGGACUUGAAAUAUUUGCUGCUGUACUUUAGAUGGCAUUGUAAUAAUUUGAGUAUGAAUAUUGUCGUAUUAUAUACGUUACAAUAUUUGUAUUGAAACUCACAGUAUAUGUGUCGUCGUAUUUUGCACUACAGUUGUAUAAAUGAAGCUGUCAGUCAUGUAUUUUCUAGCGACCAAGGAUGGGUGGCGUAUACCUAUUUUGGGGGCAUCACAACAGGAUACUGGAAUAGUGAGGUAUCAGACUUCUCUUCUUCUUUCUCUCUAUAAUUUCUCUAUAAUAAUUACUCUUGUGAGACUUAGUGAAUUGGUGAGAAUGAAGGAAGAAUGAGCUUCUAUUUAUAGGAAAAUAUAGUUUCGAUAAUUGCACGUUUUGGGGCUCGAAAUAUUACAAUAUAAUACCUUUAUCUUUUCUUUCAUUUUUAAUUUAGUCCUACAAGUAUUAUCAAACUUGCACCACCUCACCUAAUAGUAAAUCAUGUGAAUCAAUAGUAAAUCAUGUGACUCAAUAGUUCUAAACAUGUGAAAAAAAUAAUUACAGUAUAGUACCUUCAUCUAUAAUUUAAUCAUGCAAGUAUUAUCAAUCUUGCACCACCUCCCCUAAUAGUACAUACAUGUGAACACAUAGUUAUAAGCAUGUGAAUCAAUAGCAAUUAAUUCCUCAUUUAUUCGAUUAAUUACCCGAUUGGUCAAUAUAACCUCUAGACAUCAAUUAUUAUCGAAAUAAAUGUCGAUUUCCACUAACACUAAUAAUUCCAACACAAUGGAACUAUUAAUUUCAUCAUUAAUCAACACGAACUUAUUCAUAAUUAAUAUUAUAAUUCACAAUAUUUAACAACCAGGUCGUUCCCAGGAAAGAGGGGGCUUUCCGAUAAGGAUUUCUCCUUAUUGGCGCGCAAUUAGGUGACCAAACCUCUCCUUGAUAGAACUUCUAGACAUUGUCAAUAUUGCAAAUAAUAAUAUGAAUAACUUUGUUGUCUCAAUUAUUGAUUUAAUAAUAUAAUAUAUUAUACAGUUGAUACUAUGACAAUAAUUGAAUCAAUAAUAUGAGAGUUAUGAUGCAGCAAUUACUGUAGCAAUAAUUGAGUAUAACUGAGUGACUUCUUACGUAAGCAUCAAUAAUCAAUACCGUGUGCUUCUAUGCAACCACACGUAUUACUGUACUUUUACUACCGGGUAGUUCAACAGUUUUAACGGUAACACUCGCCGUUAUUUUUAUAAAAUGAUAAUUUUAUCAUUUUCUAACUACGACAAUACUUCCGUUGUGGGGUCCACAUCGUCGUACGAAUAUUUCUUGUUAAAACGAAUAUUCCCCUACCAAUCGAAUAUUAUAUAACAACUUUCUUACUUUACAAAAUUUAUAAAUAUUACACACAACUAUAACAUUAUAUCAAAUCCACACUAUAAUAUUCAAAAAAAUAUUUCGAGAAAUUUAAAUCUUUAUUCAUAAAAUUUGGGGUCUCACAAUCUCCCCUCCUUAUGAAAUUUUGCCCUCGAAAUUUACGUACGUACCAGGUAUGCUGAAGAGAUGAGGAUACCUUGACUUCAUUUCAGAUUCUAACUCUUGAGGUAUAACCUUUGAGUGUCGAAUAUAAUCCUUCUUAUCCAAGAUUUUAACACGUAUCUCCUCAUAAAUUAAAUCUUUUUCUAUCUCGUCUAGUUCUAAUUCAAUAAUGUGGUUUGGGUCAUCCACAUAAUUAUGUAACAUCGAUACGUGAAAAACGUUAAGAACACACGACAUACUUGACGGUAAAACGAGUCUAUAGGCCACAGUUCCUACUCGAUCGAGGAUUUCAAAUGGGCCAAUUAAAUCGAGGGUUGAGAUUUCCUCUAUUCAUCGACUCUUGCUUCUAGAAUAACGCCUUCUUGAACCUUCUUCUUCAUAUUCAUCAGCUCCAGGUGUGUAGUUUGAGCAGCUUUAACUUUAUCGAUUAAAGUCCAUUCUACUCGUAUAUUCGUUAUCUUCACGUGGGUCUCUAGAGUCUUUAACUCUAUCUUCGUCAUUGUAAGUUAUACGAAAUGGGUUUUUGUGUUAACAAUAUUGCACUCGUAAACGCAUACGAUCUUCUACUCAACGCGUCAGCUACCACAUUCGUUCUUCCACAAUGAUAUUGAAUGGUAUAGUCGUAAUCUUCAACAGCUCGAGCCAACAUCUUUGGCGUAUUAUAUGUUUGUUUUGGUUGAAGAAAUAUUUAAGGGUUGAAGAAAUGGGUUUUAUACUGUGGUCAAUACAAAAUUCGAUUUCACGCUCUAGGGUAGGCGAGGAAGUUCUUCGAGAAUACGUCAGGAAAUUUAUUAACGAUAGAAAUAUCAUUCAAAACUGUGACUCUCAUCCAAGACUUGGAUAGGACAUGAAAUGAAGGUUUCUACUAACGGAGUUUCAACCGAUAAGUCAAAGACUAAUUUCUUCGAAGUCAAAUUUAAACUUUGAGCGCAAGCAAGAGAGACAAAAUAAUGGGUAGAACCGGUAUCUAAUAAGGUAUAGACUUCGCCAGAAUUUAUAAUUAACUAACCUGUACUAACUUCGUUCGGGUUACUCGCUUUUUGAGAAGUCACGAAAAACGUUCUUCCUAAAACCACCGACUUUGUUUUGUCCGUAUCCGCCUUUAGUGCCACCAUCCCAACUGGACUUGACUUUAGCGCACGACAAAAUCGGGCUAGGUGAUCUUCUUUUCCAUAAUUAUAACAUGCUUUAGACUGUAUCACACAGUUUGGAACGGGUGCUGGUGAUACUGUCUUUCCAUCAUUUAAAACAUACGACCGACGGUCGUUCUCCUUCCUUUGAAACGGGUGCUGGUGCUACUGUCUUUCCAUCAUUAUUGAACCUUCUCUUCUUGAAAUUUCCACUUCUAUUAUCUUGGCCAUGAUUACCACUGAAGUGGUUACCAUUUCUAGCAUGAUAAUUUCCUCCACGAUGGUUAUCGUUGUUCCGAUGGCCGUUGCCACCGGUACGAUUAUUAUCGUGUUGCUAGUCAUUACCUUUUGGUUGAGCUGACUCAACGGUCUCAUGUGCUUCAUUGCUUAUCUCAACAUUUUCAGAUGCCUUUCUCAAACACUAUCACAAAACAAGGGUUAAUUGACAUGUCACAUAUUAUCCCUAUACUCUGACCGACCAAUUAAAUACCAAGUAAACUUAGGUAGGUCAUACUAGCGAAAGAAUUCUCCGUCUCUCCCCUCCUAGUUCUUGUCUCACAUCUCAGCCAGGGAUCAUAUUCCUAAGCUUUGAUACCAAUUGUGACGCCCCCAAAAUAGGUAUACAUCACCCAUCUUGAGUAGCUAGAUACAUGGUACAUAAAUUCAAAUACAACUUAAUUAUACAACAGUCGUGUAAAAUACGACAAAAUAUAGCUGAGAGUUUAAACAAGAAUAUUGUCAUCUAGACAAUAUCCACACUCAAUGGUGUCCUCAUUACAAUUAUUAUCACAUUAUUCCGUAGAAUAGUGAGGACUACUAAAGCCAUUUAUCCUGGACCAUCACUCCAUUUCCCGACUCGUCCCAGCUAUAUUCUCAUUUCCUGAAGAGAACAAUGAAAGAAAGGGUGAGCUCAACUAGCCCAGUAAGAAAUAUUAUGACUAAGAUAAUGCAGAAUAAAUUAUCCUUAGCCUUCAACAGUAUAACAACUGAUAGAAUACAAUAGACAACAAGUUUUAGAUCAACAACUGCAGCGGAAAUAAGCAAUCCAUUAGAAGAGUCAAGUAGAGCAUAAAAUCUACUAUCUUCUAUGAUUUAAAAAGUUUUUCAUCAACUUUAUCGCUGAGACUCAGCUUAAUAAAUAAAAUCGAAUCAUCCCUGCACCACGGCCAAGGAUAUUCAUGUAAUCAUCAAUGGUCAUGAUUAUACCGAAUAAUCCCUGGUCAUAAUCAUACCAACAACUGUCCAUCAAUGAACUACAGGCCAAUGAGGACUUUUACCACAUCAUUCGUCACAUUACGGUCAUGAUUAUACCGAAUAAUCCCUGGUCAUAAUCAUACCAAGUUCAUCUAUGCACGUAAGCCAAAGAUGACUUUAAUCACAAUAUAAGCAUGAGGAUGAUGACAAUGACAUAAUAAUUCAAUAAAACAAGUUCAAGGAUAAAUUUUUAAAGAUUUAUAAUUUAAUUUAUCCAGAAAUUAAUAACGUCCAAAUUGUCAACAUGAUACUGCUUUGUAGAGUAAAAUUCAAGAAUAAUAUUCAUGUACCAAAAAUAAUUUGGACAGCAAAAAAAUAUAUUUUUCGGGUGAAUAGUACUCCGUGAAUAGUACCCCGACACGAAAAGUAUCCCAAAUACCCGAGUGAAUGAUACUAGAGUGAAUAGUAAUCGGGUGAAUAGUAACCCGUGAAUAGUAACUCGUGAAUAGUACUCCGGCAUAAAAAGUAUCCUGAAUACCCGAGUGAAUAAUACUAGAGUGAAUAGUAACCGGGUGAAUAGUAACCCGUGAAUAGUAACUCGUAAAAAAAUACUAAGGAAAACGAUAUUCCAUGACGAGUACAAAAGAAAUGAUAUCUCAGACGAGUAUAAUAGAAUAUACGAAAUUGCAAAUGAAUUUUCACCCGCCAUGCGGUAAUCCACGUAGACAGACCAUUUCCACAAUUUAAUAAGGAAUGAAUACAAAGGAUCAUUCACCAUGCAUGCGGUAAUCCACAUAGAAAUGUUAUUCCAACAAAAUAAUAAAGAAUGGAAUAACAAAAGAAUUCACCAUGCAUGCGAUAGACCGCACAGACAGGUUAUUCCCAACAGAAUAAUAAAGAAUGGAAUAACAGAAGAAUUCACCAUGUAUGCGAUAGAACGCACAGACAGGUUAUUCCCAACAGAAUAAUAAAGAAUGGAAUAACAGAAGAAUUCACCAUGUAUGCGAUAGAACGCACAGACAGGUUAUUCCCAACAGAAUAAUAAAGAAUGGAAUAACAGAAGAAUUCACCAUGUAUGCGAUAGAACGCACAGACAGGUUAUUCCCAACAGAAUAAUAAAGAAUGGAAUAACAGAAGAAUUUCACCAUGUAUACGGUACUUCGUAUAGACAGGUUAUUCCAACAUAAUAAUAAAGAAUGGAAUAACAGAAGCUCCCUUCAUGAAUACGAAAGAAAUAAUACCCCUUACCUUAGAAGAAAUAACAUUAUAUCAAAUCCACACCAUAAUAUUCAAAAAAAUAUUUCGAGAAAUUUAAAUCUUUAUUCAUAAAAUUUGGGGUCUCACAGAUAUUAUGCAGGAAUUACUGUAGCAAUAAUUGAGUAUAACUGAGUGACUUCUCACGUAAGCAUCAAUAAUCAAUAUCGUGUGCUACUAUGCAACCACGCGUAUUACUGUACUUUUACUACCGGGUAGUUCAACAGUUUUAACGGUAACACUUUCGCCGUUAUUUUUAUAAAAUGAUAAUUCUGUCGUUUUCUAACUACGACAAUACUUUUGUUUUGGGUUCCACCAAUGAUUGUGUCAUCGUACGGAUAUUCCUGACAAAAAGAAUAUUCCAUGACCAAACAAAUAUUUUAUAACAACUUGCUUACUUUGCAAAAAAUUUCACAUAUCACCCUUAACUUUAAUAUUUUAUCAAUUUAACCAUUUACGAAAUAAAAUAAUAAUUAUAAGAAAAUUGAAUACUUUCAUUUCAUAAAAUUCGGGGUCUUACACCCUGCAGGUCAGUUCCAUAGUUCAAUUACAAUGCCCCAUGUCAUUAUUUUAUUUUAUUUAGUAUUGAGAAAUUAAGUAAAUACUACUUAGUUCAAUAUAUAAUUUAUUUUAUUUUAUUUUUAUUAUUUUUUAAUAUUCUAUUUAGUAUUGAGAAACUAAAUAAAUACGUACUAAUUAGUUCAUUAUUUUAUUUAUUCUAUUUUACUUUACUUUAUUUUAUUUUAUUUUAUUUAGUAUUGAUAAACUAAGUAAAUACUAAUUAUUUUAUUAUAUUAUUUAUUUUAUUUUAUUUGUUUUAUUUUAUAAUAUUUUAUUUAGUUUAUUUUAUUUUAUUUAGUAUUGAGAAACUAAGUAAAUACUAUUAAUUCAUUAUAUUAUAUUAUUUAUUUUAUUUUGUUUCAUUUUUAUUAUUUUAAAUAGUACAAAUUGUCCUAAAUUAAACGGUACACACUAUUGUUUCUUCCAAUAUUUCAGUUUAUUAAAUGAAAUUAUUCAAAAAUCAUAAUAUUCGAGUCUACAAAUUUAUUUUAAACAUUAUUUUAUCAAAACAUAGCUCACCGCACUCAUCAAAUUAAAUUCGGAAUGCUACCCAAAAUCAGAAUUAUGACAAGUUUCUAAAAAAUCAGAGGAUUCAAGUGCUAAAUCAAAUUCAAUUAUAUUCAGAAUGACAAUUCCUAAAUCAGAAGAUCCAAGUGCUUCCCAAGUUUCUCCAGUUUGUGUAAUGCUAUGGCAUAAGAAAUCCCAACCAAACUCACAUGACAUAUGACAUAGAAGGCUCAAACAUUUGAGAUACAAAAUCUAACAAUAUCUAACACUUGUUCGGAAAAAACUAUAACUACAUGCACAAAAUAUACACUGGGAUUCAACAUAUAUAUAAGAUUCAACCUAAGAUUUCAACAUUUUCUUAAAAAAUUCAAAUGAGAACAAAAAAAAAAUUAAUACCUGAUUUAUAGAGUGGCCUGGGCUUGGUCGAUGGCGACAACUUCGACGGUAGCAACCUUCCUCUCUUCCCUCUUCUUCUCCAUUUUCUCCCUCUUCUCCCUCUUCUUUUUCUUUCUUUCCACCGUCUCCUGGGCUGCUCGACUGCCUAUUUUGAUUAGAUUAAAGAAGAUCAGGGACCACAUGCGGUCGCUGUUUUUUAAUGACGUGGAUGUAUUAGAGACCGCUGGCGAUCGUUGGAAUUUGUUGGUCGUAAUAAACCUCCCCACCAACAUUUGCGCAAAAUUUAUGACGGCAAAAUUAAAUCAGCGACUGCAUGCGGUCGCUGAUAGUAGCUAGCAACUAGAUUUACAUACGGUUGCUAAUAUCGGUCGCUAUUAAUAACAUUAACGACCGGAUUAUGCGAUCGCUGAAAGUAUUGAUCGUUGUUGGACCAUUUUAUUAUAGUGUCGCCUCGUUUUCAAGCCUAUUGAUUGUAAUUAAGUCUAAGUUUUGACUCUAGACUGGAGAAUUAAAGUCUCCCCACUUAUAUCCGGAAUGUGUUUUCAUUAAGGCCAAUUAUGGAUGUGUGGACUUUAAACCUGGAUCAAGAUGUUUGCUUGCAAUGAUUAUACUUGAAAUAUGACUAUUAAUCACAAGUGUCUUAUUUGUUUUUAAAUUUGAACUUGAGACUAUUACUCCAUAGAUUAUAAAAUGACUUAAUAUAGGGGACUAUUUAAUACCAUGUUCAACUAGGUAUUAUAAUCUCAUAAAUUAUAAUCCCAAAAUUAUAAUACUUGUAAAGAAACAUGAGUUAUUGUCGUAUGUAAACUUAAGAAUGACAUUAUGUUAUUUUGACCAUCACAAAUUUAUCCGAAAUGUCAUAACGUUAAUUACAAUUAUAAUAUGUUUAUAUUUCUUAUAACUAAGAAUGUUUUAAAUUAAAUUUGAAAAAAGUAAAACCUAAUUUUACAUUUUAAACUUGAUAUUAUAAUCCCUAUAUAUGCAAAACGUGAUUUGAUUUGGACGCAAAGGUCAAAACGGAGAAGCGAAAUAUAGAUUAGAGAGGCUGCCCUUUCAAAGUAUAAAAGACUAACUACACAUCCAAGUUUCUUUCUCACAACCUAACGCUAUAAAUCAUUUGUUGAAUAUAUUUGAUCACAUGCAUUAUUAAUUUGCAUUUUUCUCCAUUUUCAUGUUUCUUUUUCCAAGUACACGUGGGAAAAAAAUUCAAUCCAAAUCGUUCCAAGUACAACUCGUCCUUUCUCAACCCUACUUAAUUCACAAAUACAAUUAUUUCCAAAUGUUGAAAUUUAAUAUAUACUAUAAGAAAUAUAUAGCUCACCCACUCUUCAUACAAGUCAAAAGAUGGCUGAAUUAAACAAUGUGUAGGUCAUACAUUAUUCUUAUUUUUAAGGGAUAACUUAGUCUUCAAAUUAUAAUUAUUUUUUUAUAUUUAGUCUCUUAACUAUUUUUUCGCAUAUUUUAUUUUUAAAUUAUAUUUUUCUUUCAUGUUAAUCACUUAAUUAAAAUAGAGUAUUUUUCACGUUUAAUUUUUAAAUUGUGAUUGUUAUUCAUAUUUGGUCUUUAAUUUAUAUAGUUGUUUUUCAUAUUUAGUACCCUUUAAUUACUCUAUUUUUAUAAAAUUUGACAAAGAUUAAAAAAAAUAAUAAAAUAUGAGGACGAAAUGCGUGAAAACAAAUAAUUUAAAAACUAAACAUGCAAAACAACAAUAAUUUAGAUAUAACGAAGAGGUUAUCCCUAUUUUUAACUCCGCCUAAUUCAAAUGUUCAUCAAUUGUAUAAAUAGACACAAAGUUAAUGAUACAAACUACUUGUAAUAUACGUCUAGUUAAAAUACAAUCGAUUUGACAUAUUUUUUUUAUAUGCAUAAAAAUUGUAUAUGUUGUGAAUAUUGCAGAUCUAUAUACAUGUUCUUAUGAAAUUAUAUUCUGAUCUAAAAGAUUAAGAUUCCUUGUAACAUAUGAUCCCUUCAUUUAUAUAGACACCAAAUUUCUUCUUAAAUUUUCACUACAAGAAAAAGGCCCAACAGUAAUUAAAAUUAUCUGUGACCGCCAUUUGUUGUCGCUAAUACUUAUAACAUCGACCGGUAUUAACGACCUCAUUUUAAUUUAGUCAUUAUUACUUUCCGUGAUUGUAAUCGGUCGAUGUUCGGUCGCUAAAAGAAUUUUCUAACAAAAAUUUGGCGUGAAAGUGGGGCGGGAAGCCUUUUUGCGACCGGAUCGUAAUAGCGACCGGAUAUCGGUUGCUAAUUCUACCACAUAGUUAAAAAUUAGCGACCGCGGGAGGUCGCAGAAAGCAGUCGAUGAUCCUAUUUAAUCUAUCAGGAAUUAGACAGUCAGACAGAAAUGAAAAAGAAUUAAGAAAAGAGAAGAGGGAGAAGAGAGAAUAGAGGAGUGCCCCCACCCCGGCCGGUCCACCCCACGCCGCCCUAUCAGGUAUAGUUUCUUAGUAAUGUAAUGUGUAUAAAUGUAUAAAUUAAUGUGUAUAAAUGUAUAAUUCUUUUAACUGAACAUAUGUAUAAUUUUCUUAUGUGCACUUUAAUGGUGAGUAGUAAUUUUAACUCAACUCGUGUGUAAAAGCUUUGCGAAAUAAAUCUUCAAUUUACCAAACUUGGAAAUUUUAUAUGGGUAUUAACAAGUACAAUCUAAUUAUAUCAAUGGUGCAUUGAUAUGUUCCAGAUGCAUGAAUUAUACCAUUUUUGAAUCAAUGUAUUAAUAUUAACCUUCAUCUUAGAAAGUAUAUAUAAUAUCACUAAUACAUUAUAAUACAGUAUAAUGCUUACAAUUAUUUAUUAGUGUAGUGCGAUUUAAAAGAAUGAACCCUCUAAUGCAUUCUAGUAUAGCAUUUUCAUAAAUUGAGAUGAGUAGAGGUGCAAUUAUUUAUGCAAAUUUUUGUAAAUAAGUACGAUACCAAAUUACUUAAUAAUCGCUAUCACACCGUACCAUAGUCAUCGUAAUUUUAUGGUGUGGUACUCGUACAAAAAAGCUUACCUGAGUUGCUCUUUAGAAUUCUAAGUUGGCACAAACAAUAAUCGAAUAGUCUUACCUUUUUUUAUGUUGUGCUUUGUAGGAUUAACUUUUUGAUGCUUUUGCAUCCAUUCGUUAUUGUUUUGGCCUUAUUAUAUUUUGAAUUUGUAUAUUUCUCUUGGGUAGUGUCUUGGGUGCCUACAAAUGACCAUAUAUGCAUACCCUCGUGCAUGUGGAUAGUGUAUAUUAUAGGGGAGACUAGCGAAUUUUUUUUAUUGGUCGAAUAACUGAAAAGAGGGGUAUAUUUUUAUAAUACCUACGUAUAUGCAAAAACAAAUGAUGUAGACUUGUCCCAAUGCAUAUGCAGACCAUGCAUGAUGCAAUGAUUCAUAUUAUAUCCCUAGGACUCUAUUGUCUUUAGACUGGUGCAGAUGUUUCAGUUAAAAUAUGUAGGAUGACAUAGGACCAUACUUCAUUCUAAUUUGAGAUCCACAACAAUAUAUCAUGCUAUGUAAAUUUGUUUUGGUACAUAUGUAUCCUCAUUCCAUUCCCGAAGCAGCAUUUAUGAUGCACACUCAUGUUAUAUAUGUACAUAUACAUCUAUAUGUAUUUAUAAGUAUCAUAAAUAGCAUUGGCUGAAUUGUAAAUCUCUAACAAGGGAAAUAAAAUAACUCUUGUCUGCAGUAAGUAUCGUGGUAUCAUGGACCUCUAUUUAGACCGUAGGUGGAUGAGUCGGCGAAAGUCAGGUGCCCGGAUAGGUGCUUCAGAUGAAUUUAGAGCUGGUUGCUAAGUGUUUUUAGAUUAUGCAUAUAGUAACCCAAAAUGAGUGAAUGGUCAGAACAAGAUAAGAUGCCCUUGUUUGAAGUGUAAGAAUAUAAAUUACAUGGACAGAGACAUUGUCAACUAUCAUUUACUUGUUUCUAGGUUCAUGAAAAAAUACGAAGAAUGCUAGUGGGCACAUGGUCAGAGAAGAGAUAGUGGUACAUCACACGUACACAAUUCGGGCAGUAGUACUCAUCGUAUGAAUGAAAUGGUUCAUGAUAUUGUAGGGUCGGAUUUUGAUUAGAAACAAGGUAGAGAGCAACCUAUGAAUUCUUAUGCCAAAGCGUUCUUUAAGUUGUCAGACGAGGGUAGAGAGUCGUUGUGGCAUGGUUGCACCAAGCACACUACAUUUUCUGCAGUGGUGACAUUACUUAACAUCAAGGUUGAUCACAACAUGAGCCAUGAGUGUUUUGAGUCGCUUUUGAAUGCCAUUAAGAGUAUGUUGUAUGAGACUAAAAAAUUUCCCAAAAACUACUACUAUUGUAAGAAAAUGGUGAAGAAGUUGGGUCUUGGAUACUAAAAGAUCGAUGCAUGUCCGAACGAUUGCAUUUUAUUUUAUAAGGAAGAUUAACAUGAGACAAGGUGCACAUUUUGCAGUCAUAAUCGGUUUAGGCCUAAUAGAGAGGGUCUGACAACAAAAAAAACAAAUAUACCUUUUAAGAUUUUAAGGUAUUUUCCAAUUACGGCUAAAAAGAUUGUAUAUGUCUUCCAAAAUAGCUGAACAUGUGACUUGGCAUGCGAAAUCUCAAGCUAAAGAUAGGGAACUAAACCAUCCCGCAGAUGGGAAGGCUUGAAAAGAUUUCAACUUAGCACAUCCUGGGUUUGCAUUGGAACCUAGGAAUGUGAGGCUUGGAUUGUCCACUGAUGGUUUCAACCCGUUCGGCCACUCUGCUGUUCCGUACUCUUGCUGGCCUGUGAUUGUUACUCCAUACAACUUGCCUCCUUGGAUGUGUAUGAAACAACCAUAUUUAGUUUUUUCACUUGUGAUUCCUAUUCCCAAGAGUCCUGGAAAGAACCUAGAUGUUUACUUGAGACCUCUGAUAGACGAGUUGAAGGUAUUGUGGGAGGAUGGAGUACAGACUUGUGAAGUUUUCUCAAAAAUAAAUUUCAACCUUAGGGCUGCGGUUAUGUGGACUAUAAGUGACUUCCUUGAUUAUGGUAUGUUAGCUAGAUGGAGUACACAUGGUAAGUUGGCUUGUCCGUAUUGUAUGGAGCGUACAAAGUCCUUCAAUCUAUCAAAAGGUAGAAAGCCUUGCUUGUUUAACUGUCAUCGUCGAUUCUUGCCGGUAGAUCACCCAUUUCGAAAAAACAUAGAACACUUCAAGAAAGGGAAAGUAGACAAUGAUAUGCCUGCACCGCGAUUUUCGGGGACGGAGAUGUGUGACCAUGUGAUGAGAUUAUCGGUUAUCUCAUUUGGAAAGACUGUUUCCUCAAACACAAUCGAUGGGUUUGGCGAGUCUCAUAAUUGGGUUCACAAAAACAUCUUUUGGGAACUGACUUAUUAGUCUACAAAUUUGAUUUGGCAUAAUCUAGAUGUGAUGCAUAUUGAGAAGAAUGUGUUCGACAAUGUGUUUAACAUCGUGAUGAGUGUUACAGGAAAGAGGAAAGAUAAUGAUAAAGCACGGUUAGACAUGAAAGAUAUUUGUAAACGUCCUGGAUUAGAACUUUAUGAAUCUACAAUUGGUAAAAUGUUCAAACCGCAUGCAAGAUACACAUUGUCCAAAAAGCAGGUUGAAGAAGUGUGCACAUGGAUUAAGUCUCUCAAACUACCAAAUGGAUAUGCGUCAAACAUUGCAAGGUGUGUUACGGGUGGGAAAUUGCAAGGGAUGAAGAAUCAUAACUGUCAUGUGUUCAUGGAAAGACUCGUGCAUGUUUAUAGCAUUUUGGGAUAUGCUUGAUAAACCAAUAUGGGAUGCUUUGACUGAUCUUAGUUAUUUUUUCAGAGACUUGUGUCCCAAAACAUUAAAUGAGAAGGACAUGUCAGUACAUCAUUGAGAUCACGUGUAAGCUUAAAACAAUAUUCCUGCCUGGUUUUUUUUGUCUCCAUGGAGCAUUUGCAAAUCCAUCUUCCCUAUGAAGCUCAUGUUAGGAGUCCAUUUCAAUAUAAAUGGAUGUACCCUUUCGAAAGGGUGAUGGGAAACCAUAAGAGGAAGGUGAAAAUAGAGCUUAUGUCGAGGGGUCGAUAUGUGAGGCAUACAGUUUCAAUGAGAUAUCUACGUUUAUCUCAGACUAUUUUCCCGACGAAGUCUUGACAAAGGUCAAUCGAGUCUCGAGACAUGAUGAUGGGGGUAAUGUUGAACUAAAUGGUCGGCAUUCUGUAUUUGGUCUAUCAGGUCGCGCUUAUAGAAAAAGAAAGCGCAUAUUCCUCUUUGAACAAGAUUUACAUGCUGCACAUACUUACAUUGUAAGACCCCAACUUUUAUGAAUAAAGAAUAAUUUUCUCAAAAUAUAUUUUUGAAUAUUAUGGUGUGGAUUUGAUAUAAUGUUAUAGUUGUGGGAGAAACCUUCAUUACAUCCACUGUUUAUAAGUCUUGUUUGAUUCAAAUCGGUAACUGCGCGUUACCUGUCGAACUUAUUUCCUUGAAAAUACUUGCAUUUGAUGUGAUUUUAGGGAUUGAUUGAUUAACUACUCAUCAUGCUAAAAUCGAUUGUUUUCGUAAGUUUGUUAGCUUUCAUAUUCCUAACCAACCUAUUAUGUGAAUUCAAGCAACCAAACCACUAAAAUCAAUCACUGUUAUAUCAAGUCAUAAAGCUAUUCGUUUAUUAAAAAAUGGAUGUCAAGCUUUCUUAGCCCAUGUCACGGAUUUAAAUAAAAAUAGGUCAGAUUUGAAUGAUAUUUCUAUUGUUAAUAAAUUUCCUGACGUAUUCCCUGAAGAACUUCCUGGCCUACCCCCAGAGCGUGAAAUUGAAUUUUGUAUCGACCUUGAAUUCGGUACAAAACCCAUUUCCAAAGCCCCAUAUUGAAUGGCUUCUAUUGAACUUCAGGAGUUAAAAACCCAACUACAGGAAUUGUUAGACAUCAGUUACAUUCAUCCUAGUACGUCUCCUUGGGGUGCUCCUGUUCUAUUCGUGAAGAAGAAAGAUGGAAGUAUGCGACUUUGUAUUGAUUAUCAGGAGUUGAAUCAUGUCACCAUCAAAAAUAGGUACCCGUUGCCUCGCAUUGAUGACCUAUUUGACCAGUUGCAAGGAGCCAAAUUCUUUUUAAAGAUUGAUCUUCGUUCCAGAUAUCAUCAGUUGAAGAAUAAAAUUGAUGACAUUCCAAAUACUGCUUUCAGAACUCGGUACGGGCAUUAUAAAUUCCUAGUCAUGUCUUUUAGAUUGACUAAUGCUCCUACUGCCUUCAUGGACAUGAUGAACCGAGUAUUCAAGGAAUAUUUGGAUCACUUUUUGGUUGUCUUUAUUGAUGACAUCCUCAUAUACUCCAAAACCCGUGAAGACCAUGAGCAACACUUAAGGCUGAUACUCCAAAAGUUUCGUGAAAACAAGCUAUAUGCCAAGUUAAAGAAAUGUGAGUUCUGGCUUGAGGAAGUUGCAUUACUUGGGCACGUGAUAUCAAAUCAUGGAAUAUCUGUUGACCCAGCAAAGAUUGAAGCAAUUCAAAGCUGGGAGCAACCAAAGUUAGUGACUGAAGUACAUAGCUUUCUCGGCUUAGCUGGUUAUUAUCGGAGAUUCGUGGAAGGAUUUUCUCGAAUCGCUACUCCAUUAACUCAGCUGACUCGAAAAGAUACAAAGUUCAGUUAGAGCGAGGAAUGUGAGAAGAGUUUUCAAGAACUCAAGAGAAGACUCAUUUCAGCACCUAUUCUGACAAUACCAUCUGGCUCGAAGGGAUUUGUCAUCUACAGUGAUGCUUCAGGCAAAGGGUUAGGAUGUGUUCUCAUGCAACAUGGGAAAGUCAUAGCCUAUGCCUCUCGAAAACUCAUUGAAUAUGAGAGAAAUUAUUCUACUCAUGAUCUAGAGUUGGCAGCAGUCGUUUUUGCGCUUAAGAUUUGGAGGCAUUACCUGUAUGGAGAGAAGGUGGAGAUCUAUACGGAUCAUAAAAGCCUCAAAUAUUUCUUUACUCAAAAGGAACUCAACAUGCGACAACGACGAUGGCUUGAGUUGUUGAAAGAUUAUGAUCAUACCAUCCAAUACCAUCCUGGAAAAGCGAACGUAGUAGCUAACGCACUGAGUAGAAGAUCAUAUGCGGGUACAAGUGCAAUAUUGUCAACGCAAAGGCCCAUUUUGUAUGACUUGGAAAGGAUGGAAAUAGAGUUAAAGACUCCAGGGACCCAUGUGAUGAUGGUGAAUAUACAAGUAGAAUCGACUUUAAUUGAUAAAGUUAAAGCUGCUCAACUUACGGACCUAGAGCUGAUGCGUAUGAGGAAGAAAGUACAAGAAGGUGCUAUUCCAGAAGUAAGAAUCGAUGAAGAAGGAAUACUUUGAGUCAACUCCAGACUUUGUGUUCCUAACGAUUCUGACUUGAAGUAUAAAAUCAUGAUGGAGGCGCACAACACACCGUUUGCAAUCCAUCCUGGGAGUACAAAAAUGUAUCGUGAUCUUCGACAUACAUUUUGGUAGAGAAAUAUGAAGAGAGAGAUAGCGGGGUUUAUCUCAAGGUGUCUAGCUUGUCAACGAGUCAUGGCAGAGCAUCAAGUGCCAAAAGAUCCAUUGCAACCACUUAAAAUUCCAGAAUGGAAGUGGGAUCACAUUAUCAUGGAUUUCAUUAGUGGUCUUCCCAAAGUUUCUCAAGGCAUAGAUGCAAUUUGGGUCAUUGUUGAUAGAUUGACCAAGUCUGCUCAUUUCUUACCGAUACGAGAAACUUUUACACUUGAACGUCUUGCUAGUAUGUACAUAAAUGAGAUUGUAAGAUUGCAUGGUAUGUAAAUAUCCAUAGUUUCUGAUCGAGACCCAAGAUUCACUUCAAGAUUUUAGGUUAGUUUGCAAAAAGCUAUGGGCACGGAUUUACGAUUUAGUUCGGCAUAUCAUCCUCAAACGGAUGGGUAGUCGAAAAGGACUAUUCAAACUCUUGAAGAUUUAUUAAGACUCUGUGUCCUUGACUUCAAAGGAAGUUGGGACAAGUUCUUACCAUUGGUGGAGUUUUCCUACAAUAAUAGUUAUCAAGCAAGUAUUGGCAUGGCUCCAUUUGAGGCGUUGUAAGGAAGAAAGUGUCGUUCUCCAGUAUGUUGGGAUGAGGUGGGUGAAGCAACGUUGUUGGGAUCGAAUUUGGUACGUAUGACUACGGAAAAGAUUUAAACGAUCCGACAACAUAUAAAAACCUCACAAGAUCGACAAAAGAGUUAUGUUGAUCUUCAUCGAAAGGACGUGGAAUUCAAUAUUGGAGAUCAUGUGUUGUUACGUGUUCCUCCAUGGAAAGGAGUUACGAGAUUUGGAAAGAGAGAAAAGCUCAAUCCUCGAUUCAUUGGCCCAUUUUUAAUCCUCGGUCGAGUAGGAACUGUGGCCUAUAGACUCGCCUUACCGCCAAGUAUGUCUCGUGUACAUAAUGUUUUUCACAUAUCUAUGUUACAUAAAUAUGUGAAAGACCUGAACCACAUUAUUGAAUUAGAACCAGACGAGAUAGAGGAAGAUUUAACGUAUGAAGAUUUACCUGUUAAAAUCUUGGAUAAGAAGGAUCAUAUUCUACGCUCCAAGGUUAUACCUCAAGUCAAAGUUUUGUGGAGAAACCACGAUGUGGAAGAAAUGACCUGGGAGUUAGAAUCUGAGAUGAAGUCAAGAUAUCCUCACCUCUUCGAUAUACCAGGUACGUACCCUAAUUUCGAGGACGAAAUUUCAUAAGAAGGGGAGGUUGUAAGACCCCAACUUUUAUGAAUAAAGAAUAAUUUUCUCGAAAUAUAUUUUUGAAUAUUAUGGUGUGGAUUUGAUAUAAUGUUAUAGUUGUGGGUAAUAUUUACAAAUUUUGCAAAGUAAGCAAGUGGUUAUAUAAUAUUCGAUUGGUCGGGGAAUAUUCGUUUUAACAGGGAAUAUUCGUACGACGGCACAAUCAUUGGUGGACCCCACAACGGAAGUAUUGUCGUAGUUAGAAAAUGACAGAAUUAUCUUUUUAUAAAAAUAACGGCGAAAGUGUUACCGUUAAAACUGUUGAACUACCCGGUAGUAAAAGUACAGUAAUACGCGUGGUUGCAUAGUAGCACACGGUAUUGAUUAUUGAUGCUUACGUGAGAAGUCACUCAGUUAUACUCAAUUAUUGCUACAGUAAUUGCUGCAUCAUAUCUCUCAUAUUAUUGAUUCAAUUAUUGUCACAGUAUCAUCUGCAUAAUAUGUUAUAUUAUUAAAUCAAUAAUUGAGACGACAAAGUUAUUCAUAUUAUUAUUUGCAAUAUUGACAAUGUCUAGAAGUUCUGUCAAGGAGAGGUUUGGUCACCUAAUUGCGCGCCAAUAAGGAGAAAUCCUUAUCGGAAAGCCCCCUCUUUCCUGGGAACGACCUGGUUGUUAAAUAUUGUGAGUUAUAAUAUUAAUGAUGAAUAAGUUCGUGUUGAUUAAAGAUGAAAUUGAUAGUUCCAUUGUGUUGGAAUUAUUAGUGUUAGUGGAAAUCGACAUUUAUUUCGAUAAUAAUUGAUGUCUGGAGGUUAUAUUGACCAAUCGGGUAAUUAACCGGAUAAAUGAGCAAUUAAUUGCUAUUAAUUCACAUGAUUAUAACUAUUUGUUCACAUGUGUGUACUAUUGAUUCACAUUCUUGUACUAUUAGGGGAGUUGGUGCAAGAUUGAUAAUACUUGCAUGACUAAGUUAAAAAUGGAGGUAUAGAUGGAGGUACUAUACUGUAAUUCGUAUUUUCACAUGUCUAGAACUAUUGAUUCACAUGAUUUACUAUUGAUUCACAUGAUUUACUAUUAGGGGAGGUGGUGCAAGUUUGAUAAUACUUGCAGGACUAAAUUAAAAAUGAAGGAAAAGAGGAAGGUAUUAUACUGUAAUAUUUCGAGCCCCAAAACGUGCAAUUAUCGAAACUAUAUUUUCCUAUAAAUAGAAGCUCAUUCUUCCUUCAUUUCUCACCAAUUCACUAAAGCUAUAGAGCAAUUAUUAUAGAGAGAAAUUAUAGAGAGAAAGAAGAAGAGAAGUCUGCUACCUCACUAUUCCAGUAUCCAGUUUUCUUCUAAGGUAAGGGGUAUUAUUUCUUUCGUAUUCAUGAAGAGAGCUAUUGUUAUUCCAUUCCUUAUUAUUCUGUUGGAAUAACCUGUAUACGCGGACUACCGUAUACAUGGUGAAAUUCUUCUGUUAUUCCAUUCUUUAUUAUUAUGUUGGAAUAACCUGUCUAUGCGAAGUACCGCAUACAUGGUGAAAUUCUUCUGUUAUUCCAUUCUUUAUUAUUCUGUUGGAAUAACCUGUCUAUGCGAAGUACCGCAUGCAUGGUGAUUUCUUUUGUUAUUCCAUUCUUUAUUAUACUCAGUUGGUUAAAGUUUUGACUUCUAUACUCCAUGAAAUUAGUGGAAUAUCCUUGAUAUUUGCGCUUCAUCCAGUAUCUUUUCAUGGAAAUAUUCUUCUGAGCAUUCUUGAAUUUUACUCUACAAAGAAGUAUCAUGUUGACAAUUUGGACGUUAUUAGUUCCUGGAUAAAUUAAUUCUUGAACUUGUUUUAUUGAAUUCUUAUAUCAUUGUCAUCAUCCUCAUGUUUAUAUUUUGUUGAAAGUCAUCUGUGGCCUGUAGUGCAUAGAUGGACUUGGUAUGAUUAUGACCAGGGAUUAUUCGGUGUAAUCAUGACCGUAAUGUUACAAAUGAUGUGGUAAAAGUCCUCAUUGGCCCGUAGUGCAUUGAUGGACAGUUGUUGGCAUGAUCAUGACCAUUAAUGAAUACACAAAUAUUCUUGGCCCGUAGUGCAUGGAUAAUUGUGGUCGUGAUACUAAAGAAUAUCCUUGGCCGUAGUGCAGGGGUGAUUCGAUGAUGUGGAUUAUUUAUUAAGCUGAGUCCCAGCGAUAAAAGUGAUGAAAAACCUUUUAAAUCAUAAAAGAUAGUAGAUUUUAUUCUCUACUUGACUCUUUUAAUGGAUUGCUUGUUCCGCUGCAGUUAAACUUGAUGUUUGUUAUAUUGUAUCAGUUUAACACUGUUUAAGGCUAAUGAUAAUUUAUUCUGCAUUAUCUUAGUCAUAAUAUUUCUUACUGGGCUAGUUGAGCUCACCCUUUCUUUCACUGUUCUCUUCAGGAAAUGAGAACGUAGCCGGGACUAGUCGGAAGACGGAGUGACGGUCCAGAUGAUAGCAUUAGUAGUCAUCACUAUUCUCUUGAAUAGUAUGACAAUAAAUGUAAUGAGGACUCCAUUGAGUGUGGAUAUUGUCUAGAUGAUAAUAUUCUUAUUAAAACUCUUAGAUUAUGUUUUAUUGUAUUUUACACGACUGUUGUAUAAUUAAGUUGUAUUUGAAUUUUGUACCAUGUAUUUGGCGACUCAAGAUGGGUGAUAUAUACCUGUUUUGGGGGCGUCACAUACAUUCUUCUCAAUUGCGUGGAGAUUAACGAAUUUAUGAGGUACACAUAUAAAAUUUCAAUUAUUUUAGGGAUAGCUAUAUCUUAACCUACAAUGAUAUACAUUCCAAUAUGUUAAUGUUUAUAAAAUAUUAUAGAUCAUACGAUGAUGAGUUAAAAGUGAAUCAGCCCGGCAUAACUGAUAAAGAUGUUCAAAUCAGUCGUGAUAAAAACUUUGUAAGGUGGCUUAAGGGAAAAAGUAUGCUACAUAUAUUAAGCAUUAAUAUAUACUCCAUUAAUUUAAGACUUCAUUUAAUGUAAUAGAGUUUUUAUAUGAUCUUACUAAGGGAACGAUUUCGGAUAAUGUACAAGUCCUAGCUAUGGGCCCAGACAUGGACCAAGUCAGCUGCAAUAGUUACAAGAUCAAUGGUUGUGAAUUUUAUAUAAAGGCAUAUGUGACAACCCAAAUUUUUAUAAAUUAUUAAAAUAAAAAUUUAAUAAUUACAAUUCUUAUUAUGAGAUGUAUAUAUUUUGAAUUAUGUGUUUUGGUGUGAAUAAAUUAAAUUUUUAUGAGAUUUAAUAGUUGAUUAAACUAUUGAAGAAAGUGAAGCAAAUUAGUUAUGAAAAAAGGAAAAUGGCG
rnacentral:lncRNA from 1 species